rnacentral:rRNA from 1 species
CCUACGGGAGGCAGCAGUGAGGAAUAUUGGUCAAUGGACGAGAGUCUGAACCAGCCAAGUAGCGUGAAGGAUGACUGCCCUAUGGGUUGUAAACUUCUUUUAUAUGGGAAUAAAAUGUUCCACGUGUGGGCUUUUGUAUGUACCAUAUGAAUAAGGAUCGGCUAACUCCGUGCCAGCAGCCGCGGUAAUACGGAGGAUCCGAGCGUUAUCCGGAUUUAUUGGGUUUAAAGGGGGCGUAGGUGGAUUGUUAAGUCAGUUGUGAAAGUUUGCGGCUCAACCGUAAAAUUGCAGUUGAAACUGGCAGUCUUGAGUACAGUAGAGGUGGGCGGAAUUCGUGGUGUAGCGGUGAAAUGCUUAGAUAUCACGAAGAACUCCGAUUGCGAAGGCAGCUCACUGGACUGCAACUGACACUGAGGCUCGAAAGUGUGGGUAUCAAACAGGAUUAGAUACCCGUGUAGUC